rnacentral:rRNA from 1 species
UACGGAGGGGGCUAGCGUUGUUCGGAAUUACUGGGCGUAAAGCGCACGUAGGCGGAUCAGUCAGUUAGAGGUGAAAGCCCAGGGCUCAACCCUGGAACUGCCUUUAAUACUGCUGGUCUGGAGUCCGAGAGAGGUGAGUGGAAUUCCCGGUGUAGCGGUGAAAUGCGUAGAUAUCUGGAGGAACACCGGUGGCGAAGGCGGCAUCCUGGACCGGUAUUGACGCUGAGGCGCGAAAGCUAGGGGAGCAAACGGG